AUUUUGCAACCUAGACCUCUAUAUCUAGAAAAAUCUAUUUUUAAAUGGACUACUUGCGGACAACUGCUUUGUCUGCAUGAGAUGCAAAAAAAAAAGCAGGUUGCAACUCAUCUGAAUUGAAGAGAUAAAGACAUAGAAUGACAGAGAUUGGCAAAUAUUGCGUUUUACGAUCUGAGCCUCACUCAGGCAACAUGUUCAGUUUAUAGUUGACAGAAAAAAAUAUUGAAUCUACAUUGCUCUACUUCUUCCCAGCAGUCACAAUGAUGCAGACAUGGGAAAUGAACCAAACCUGAACCAAAUGAACUGAACUCAAACCUCACUUACAACUGAACUGAACCCAAACCUUAAAACUGAUCAGUAUGAACUGAACUGAACCAACUGUCCUUUUGCAAUAUUUUUUAGUAAGAAAAAAUAAAAACUUGUGUUUCAAUGA